ACGUGGGGCCCGUGCGUAUCUACUAAAAGUGGAACUAGAGAGAAGAUGAGCAUGGCUCCUAUGCAAGGAUGGCGUGUGAAUUCAUGAAGCAUUCCAUAUUUUU